AUACGUAGGGGGCGAGCGUUGUCCGGAAUGAUUGGGCGUAAAGGGCGCGUAGGCGGCCCGGUAAGUCUGGAGUGAAAGUCCUGUUUUUAAGAUGGGAAUUGCUUUGGAUACUGUCGGGCUUGAGUGCAGGAGAGGUAAGUGGAAUUCCCAGUGUAGCGGUGAAAUGCGUAGAGAUUGGGAGGAACACCAGUGGCGAAGGCGACUUACUGGACUGUAACUGACGCUGAGGCGCGAAAGUGUGGGGAGCAAACAGGAUUAGAUACCCUGGUAGUCCACACUGUAAACGAUGAAUGCUAGGGGUAGGGGGUAUCGACCCCUUCUGUGCCGCAGUCAACACAAUAAGCAUUCCGCCUGGGGAGUACGGCCGCAAGGUUGAAACUCAAAGGAAUUGACGGGG
rnacentral:rRNA from 1 species